rnacentral:sRNA from 1 species
UCGAAAGACAUUCAUUCAAGAGAUCCUAACGUGAUUAUCGUAAAUAGCUGGAAUUGUAGAUAUUUACAAUGACAUAGAUCAUUUUUCUUCGACGUAAUUACGGCCUAAUGUCGAGACAAGAAUAAUAUGACGCUGAUCUGUGUUUUGACAAGAAUAUGAAUGAUCUUAAGAAAAGGCUUCGCUGAAUCAAUUGGAAGACAGCGUCUUCAAUUGUCCUACUAAAUUCUUUACGGAUGACAUCUGGGUCUGGGGAGAUCAUGCAAAAAAAUAAGACAUCAUUUAUAACUUUCAACCUUCCGCUCACAGGACAAAUUCUCGAAGACGCUACGAAAAGAUGCUGAGCUUGAUCAUAAUUCUUCAGGCUCCCAAUUCAAGAAUACAAUUACUUAGCGUGGGUGCUUCUGCUCAGUCUUCGUUUCCUAUCUCCACAUACGAAUCACUCGCUUGUUACUAAUUCGAAUAAUUUACUGCUGUAAGGAGUCGUACCGCCAACUAAAUCUGAAUAACAAUUUGGCUGCUAGAAGUCAAAAAGUAGGCGCUGCAAUGAUUAUGUGGUAUGAUCAGAUUGUGUCGCAACAUUCAGCGGGGUUUUGACUCAAUGGGACCGCUGCUAAUAAAGUUUUUAACUAGCGAAUUUUGGAACACACCCGUUGACAAAAGUAUAAGGAGUCUCUUUCCGUGAGUUCCCCUCUUCCUCUCACUGCACUUCAACUAUGCCUUAUAGCAACCAAGAAGCUAGAAAAUGCCAACUAUUAAAAAGAUAACCUCUUUGGAAUCAAAUAAAACGGAGAUUAUCUUGGGAUCUAUUUCACAAAUUUACGGCUAAUUGGAAUGAACAGCGCCAAGUAGCACUGGACAAACUGCAGAGAGUAUUAGAACUUGCUUUAUUCCGUAUAUCGUACUUUAGGUCGUCAGUUUUACCACUUCGGUACGCAAAUGAAAAUAAAAAGCUCAUUCACAACUUAGACACAAUUUCGCCGUUUACAAGUAGCUGAAAAGUCCAUCUAUCGAAUUAUGAAUGAUACUAUUUUAAAUAUCGUCGUUACUGCACUCGUUUUCCACGUUCUUUUUAUCCACACAUCCGAUGUUUUAUUUACAGUUGAGCAUCUCAGGGCCAGCGACAAAUAUAAACAUAUUAUACUCAAAAUGAAGCUCGUUGAAAAGAGAAUAUUUCUUAACCUCUUUUACAGUGCUUUCAACACCUUUUCACCUGUGUGCCAUGUCAGAUUAAGGAUGCUCAACUUUUCGAAUUAUUAUUACAAAUUUCAAAGAAAUUACUAGUCCUUUUUGUCCCCUAAUGUAUCCCUCAUUUCAUACCGUCGUUUUGGGGUUCCAACUACGUAUAGCUUUCAAGUGUGGUUUUACGGUAAGAACAACCCCCCAUCGGUUGGUGCGGAAUACUUUCCUAUUCUCAUCGAGAGCCGAGCCAUACAUCUAAGGUGGACAGAAAGCUAAAAUUCCAAAACAGAAAAAUCUAACAUCUUUGCUCCCUUACAAGUAGGAACGCUGGCGUAUCAACCCAUCUCCAGAUUUGCCCAGCAUUUCUGUAGAACACCCAAUGCGAAUGAAGACUAAUGAAUAUUGUAAAGACAAAAAAUAGGAAAAGUUUAAUUAGUGAUGGUUCUCACCACCCCAAAACGGUCACUUGCAUGCAUUGAGGACAUGCACCUGCAGUACUUGUUUUUCUCGAAUGUUUUUACCAUCUCUUUUUUCCUUAUCUGAGCUACUGACGCAGACGGACAUUGUUUCAUAUUUCGAAAGCUGUGCGGGAAAACGGAUCCUAACACGAAUGUGAAUGCGCUAAUCAAUAUUUCCACCACAUGAAACCUGCUACUUUUUCAGUCCUCUUCGUAUGCAUUUCCCAAAAUUCAUUCGUAGCCUUGUCAACUUAGACUCAGUUCCACGGCGUGCAGGACGGGGUAUUAUGAAUAAAAGGAUCCACGGGUGAGAUUUGUUCUGUGUUUUAGGUAUGGAGUUUUGUACCACAAAACUUUAGGAAUACCGGAUUUUGUGCCUACGCCAGCCCCAGAGUAUGUUCUCACAGCUGUAAUUCCUAGUGAUCUUUUCCUGGCUCCAAUAGGAACGCCGGUAGGCAAAUUAAACUUUCGCGGCAGGAAAAAAAAGGCUUUUUCUUUUUUGCCUUUCAGUUUCUCGGAAUGUGGCAUUACAUAAGCAUAAUCCUUUUUGGGUGUGCCUGGAAAGUUCAAAUUAAGGUUUUUUUCUUCUGUUUUCUUGACAAGAAAAUGUCGCCCAAAGAGUUUCGGCCGUUAUUUUUCCUAUCGAAGUGGGUCCUUUUUGUCUUUAGUCCUUCUCUGGGGCUAGCGAUCACUGCAAAAUUAGGCUUCACUGGUACGAGUUAACUUUUUUUCUUUUUUUUUGUCAUCCUUUUCUUUGGGGCUAAGAAUGGACUUCCCUUUUCUUUUUCUUUGUUGCAGCAGUGGCUUCAAAGAACUGCUGAUUGCUCAAGGCAAUCAGUCCGAGCGUUUAGAAGGUGAUUGUAGGCAGAAAUUAACUUUGCGGUAAAAGAAUGACAUUCUUUCUUAAAAGAAAAAUUAGCUUUUUUUUGUCAGGCAUUGCACAAACUUUUUUAUUUCUGCCUAUACUCUUAAACAGAUCAGUCAUUCAUGUUGUCUUUUUAACGGUCGUACUGGGACAUCACAUGCCUUGGGAUUCCGUAAUUAGGUGCAACAAUACGGGCACAACUCAUUCUGCGCUAUCUUCACGGACUGAACUUCUAUUGCCUAUCGGUGGUGUGAUUAACAAUUGGAAGCGCAGAGCUUGGAAUGGAUUUCCAAUUCAAUGGAUUUGGAGGUAUUCGUUUGUUUACUAAUAUUUACUUUGAGGACAUUGCCCAACCCUAAAAGUGCCUGUUCCAGAAUAGAAUAACAUUAUGAUACGUUUUCUUGACCGCUGAGCAAUUUAAAGCAAUUAUUAGGGUACGAUUGUUUCUAGAGAAAUGUGGGUCAUCUUUUUAGGUCCAUUCUCUUCUGAUGAGGUAACCUUUACAAAAAUGUCAUAGAGUUACCAAUUGGGAUUCAAGGCAUCAUCGCAAUAUACUUCGUUCUCUUACGGAGAAAUUAAGCUCUUUCUACUUUGAAUUAACUGUUAGACUUGUCUUAUCUGAGGAAUGUCCGUGUUCAAAUUAAAUAAAAAUUUAGGGCAGUUUUAUUUACCUUAACAAAUAUGUUCAAGCAUGUACGU